rnacentral:rRNA from 1 species
CCUACGGGUGGCAGCAGUGGGGGAUAUUGCACAAUGGGGGAAACCCUGAUGCAGCGACGCCGCGUGAGUGAAGAAGUAUUUCGGUAUGUAAAGCUCUAUCAGCAGGGAAGAAAAUGACAGUACCUGACCAAGAAGCCCCGGCUAACCACGUGCCAGCAGCCGCGGUAAUACGUAGGGGGCAAGCGUUAUCCGGAUUUACUGGGUGUAAAGGGAGCGUAGGUGGUUAUGUAAGUCUGGAGUGAAAGCCCGGGGCCCAACCGCGGGACUGCUUUGGAAACUGUGUAACUGGAGUACAGGAGGGGCAGGCGGAAUGCCUGGGGUAGCGGUGAAAUGCGUAGAUAUACGGAGGAACACCAGUGGCGAAGGCGGCAUGCUGGACAUUAACUGACGCUGAGGCGCGAAAGCGUGGGGAGCAAACAGGAUUAGAUACCCGAGUAGUC